UGUGGGACUGUAGGUUUCCAGGUGUGAGUAAGGUGAGGGGCUGUAGGAUCCCAGGUGUGAAUAAGGUGUGAGGCUGUAGGAUCCCAGGUGUGAGCAAGGUGUGGGGCAGUAGGGAUCCCAGGUGUGAGCAAGGUGAGGGGCUGUAGGAUCCCAGGUGUGAGCAAGGUGUGGGGCUGUAGGAUCCCAGGUGUGAGCAAGGAGAGGGGCUGUAGGAUCCCAGGUGUGAACACGGUGA